rnacentral:rRNA from 1 species
CCCUUAGAUGUCCUGGGCUGCACGCGCGCUACACUGAUGUGUCCAGUAAGCACCUAACCUAUUCCGAGAGGAGCGGGUAACCUUAGCAAAGCACAUCGUGAUGGGGAUAGAUUAUUGCAAUUAUUAGUCUUGAACGAGGAAUUCCUAGUAAGCACAAGUCAUCAGCUUGUGUUGAUUACGUCCCUGCCCUUUGUACACACCGCCCGUCGCUCCUACCGAUUGAGUGGUCCGGUGAGGCUUUGGGAUCUGAGCGGAAAGAGCGUUUCGCUGUUUCUGCUCGGAAAACUCAGUCGAACCUUAUCAUUUAGAGGAAGGAGAAGUCGUAACA